GUCCUGGCCCUAAACGGUGCACGUUUGCUGUAAGAGGAAUCGACCCCUCUUGUGGCGAAGCUAACGCGUUAAACGUGCCGCCUGGGAAGUACGGCCGCAAGGUUAAAACUCAAAGAAAUUGACGGGGGCCUGCACAAGCGGUGGAGUAUGUGGCUUAAUUCGAUGCAACGCGAAGAACCUUACCUGGCCUUGACAUGUACGUAGUAGAAGGGUGAAAGCCUGACGAGGUAGCAAUACCAGCGUACACAGGUGCUGCAUGGCUGUCGU
rnacentral:rRNA from 1 species